UAGCCUUGACAUAUUAUAGAAUUUAGUAGAGAUACAGAAGUGCCUUCGGGAGCUAUAUUACAGGUGCUGCACGGCUGUCGUCAGCUCGUGUCGUGAGAUGUUGGGUUAAGUCCCGCAACGAGCGCAACCCUCGUCACUAGUUACUAACGGUUAGGCCGAGGACUCUAGUGAGACUGCCUUCGUAAGGAGGAGGAAGGUGAGGACGACGUCAAGUCAUCAUGGCCCUUACGGCUAGGGCAACACACGUGCUACAAUGGUUAGGACAAUGAGAAGCAAUAUCGCGAGGUGGAGCAAAUCUAUAAACCUAAUCUCAGUUCGGAUUGUAGUCUGCAACUCGACUACAUGAAGCUGGAAUCACUAGUAAUCGUAGAUCAGCUAUGCUACGGUGAAUACGUUCCGCGGGUCU
rnacentral:rRNA from 1 species